rnacentral:rRNA from 1 species
GGGUUGUGAGGUUAAGCGACUAAGCGUACACGGUGGAUGCCCUGGCAGUCAGAGGCGAUGAAGGGCGUGCUAAUCUGCGAUAAGCGCCGGUAAGGUGAUAUGAACCGUUAUAACCGGCGAUACCCGAAUGGGGAAACCCAGUGUGAUUCGUCACACUAUCAUUAACUGAAUCCAUAGGUUAAUGAGGCGAACCGGGGGAACUGAAACAUCUAAGUACCCCGAGGAAAAGAAAUCAACCGAGAUUCCCCCAGUAGCGGCGAGCGAACGGGGAGGAGCCCAGAGCCUGAAUCAGCAUGUGUGUUAGUGGAAGCGUCUGGAAAGGCGCGCGAUACAGGGUGACAGCCCCGUACACAAAAGCGCAUGUGCUGUGAGCUCGAUGAGUAGGGCGGGACACGUGGUAUCCUGUCUGAAUAUGGGGGGACCAUCCUCCAAGGCUAAAUACUCCUGACUGACCGAUAGUGAACCAGUACCGUGAGGGAAAGGCGAAAAGAACCCCGGCGAGGGGAGUGAAAAAGAACCUGAAACCGUGUACGUACAAGCAGUGGGAGCNNGGGCGUUAAGUUGCAGGGUAUAGACCCGAAACCCGGUGAUCUAGCCAUGGGCAGGUUGAAGGUUGGGUAACACUAACUGGAGGACCGAACCGACUAAUGUUGAAAAAUUAGCGGAUGACCUGUGGCUGGGGGUGAAAGGCCAAUCAAACCGGGAGAUAGCUGGUUCUCCCCGAAAGCUAUUUAGGUAGCGCCUCGUGAAUUCAUCUCCGGGGGUAGAGCACUGUUUCGGCUAGGGGGCCAUCCCGGCUUACCAACCCGAUGCAAACUGCGAAUACCGGAGAAUGUUAUCACGGGAGACACACGGCGGGUGCUAACGUCCGUCGUGAAGAGGGAAACAACCCAGACCGCCAGCUAAGGUCCCAAAGUCAUGGUUAAGUGGGAAACGAUGUGGGAAGGCCCAGACAGCCAGGAUGUUGGCUUAGAAGCAGCCAUCAUUUAAAGAAAGCGUAAUAGCUCACUGGUCGAGUCGGCCUGCGCGGAAGAUGUAACGGGGCUAAACCAUGCACCGAAGCUGCGGCAGCGAACGUAUCACCCAAGACAACUUUACGGAGUUGACGAUUGACGGAGCGAAGCGACGUCAAAGCGUUCAUUAAAGUCGAGUUGGCUUAGGGAUACGUUCGUUGGGUAGGGGAGCGUUCUGUAAGCCUGUGAAGGUGUGUCGUGAGGCAUGCUGGAGGUAUCAGAAGUGCGAAUGCUGACAUAAGUAACGAUAAAGCGGGUGAAAAGCCCGCUCGCCGGAAGACCAAGGGUUCCUGUCCAACGUUAAUCGGGGCAGGGUGAGUCGACCCCUAAGGCGAGGCCGAAAGGCGUAGUCGAUGGGAAACGGGUUAAUAUUCCCGUACUUGGUGUUACUGCGAAGGGGGGACGGAGAAGGCUAUGUUGGCCGGGCGACGGUUGUCCCGGUUUAAGCGUGUAGGUGUGUGUUCCAGGUAAAUCCGGUUCACUUUAACACUGAGGCGUGACGACGAGGCACUACGGUGCUGAAGCAACAAAUGCCCUGCUUCCAGGAAAAGCCUCUAAGCAUCAGGUAACAUCAAAUCGUACCCCAAACCGACACAGGUGGUCAGGUAGAGAAUACCAAGGCGCUUGAGAGAACUCGGGUGAAGGAACUAGGCAAAAUGGUGCCGUAACUUCGGGAGAAGGCACGCUGACACGUAGGUGAAGUGAUUUACUCAUGGAGCUGAAGUCAGUCGAAGAUACCAGCUGGCUGCAACUGUUUAUUAAAAACACAGCACUGUGCAAACACGAAAGUGGACGUAUACGGUGUGACGCCUGCCCGGUGCCGGAAGGUUAAUUGAUGGGGUCAGCGCAAGCGAAGCUCCUGAUCGAAGCCCCGGUAAACGGCGGCCGUAACUAUAACGGUCCUAAGGUAGCGAAAUUCCUUGUCGGGUAAGUUCCGACCUGCACGAAUGGCGUAAUGAUGGCCAGGCUGUCUCCACCCGAGACUCAGUGAAAUUGAACUCGCUGUGAAGAUGCAGUGUACCCGCGGCAAGACGGAAAGACCCCGUGAACCUUUACUAUAGCUUGACACUGAACAUUGAGCCUUGAUGUGUAGGAUAGGUGGGAGGCUUUGAAGUGUGGACGCCAGUCUGCAUGGAGCCGACCUUGAAAUACCACCCUUUAAUGUUUGAUGUUCUAACGUGGACCCGUAAUCCGGGUUGCGGACAGUGUCUGGUGGGUAGUUUGACUGGGGCGGUCUCCUCCUAAAGAGUAACGGAGGAGCACGAAGGUUGGCUAAUCCUGGUCGGACAUCAGGAGGUUAGUGCAAUGGCAUAAGCCAGCUUGACUGCGAGCGUGACGGCGCGAGCAGGUGCGAAAGCAGGUCAUAGUGAUCCGGUGGUUCUGAAUGGAAGGGCCAUCGCUCAACGGAUAAAAGGUACUCCGGGGAUAACAGGCUGAUACCGCCCAAGAGUUCAUAUCGACGGCGGUGUUUGGCACCUCGAUGUCGGCUCAUCACAUCCUGGGGCUGAAGUAGGUCCCAAGGGUAUGGCUGUUCGCCAUUUAAAGUGGUACGCGAGCUGGGUUUAGAACGUCGUGAGACAGUUCGGUCCCUAUCUGCCGUGGGCGCUGGAGAACUGAGGGGGGCUGCUCCUAGUACGAGAGGACCGGAGUGGACGCAUCACUGGUGUUCGGGUUGUCAUGCCAAUGGCACUGCCCGGUAGCUAAAUGCGGAAGAGAUAAGUGCUGAAAGCAUCUAAGCACGAAACUUGCCCCGAGAUGAGUUCUCCCUGAGACUUAGAGUCUCCUGAAGGAACGUUGAAGACGACGACGUUGAUAGGCCGGGUGUGUAAGCGCAGCGAUGCGUUGAGCUAACCGGUACUAAUGAACCGUGAGGCUUAACCUUACAACGCCGAAG